GACGAACGCUGGCGGCGUGCCUAAUACAUGCAAGUAGAACGCUGAAGGAGGAGCUUGCUUCUCCGGAUGAGUUGCGAACGGGUGAGUAACGCGUAGGUAACCUGCCUGGUAGCGGGGGAUAACUAUUGGAAACGAUAGCUAAUACCGCAUAAGAGUAGAUGUUGCAUGACAUUUGCUUAAAAGGUGCAAUUGCAUCACUACCAGAUGGACCUGCGUUGUAUUAGCUAGUUGGUGGGGUAACGGCUUACCAAGGCGACGAUACAUAGCCGACCUGAGAGGGGGAUCGGCCACACUGGGACUGAGACACGGCCCAGACUCCUACGGGAGGCAGCAGUAGGGAAUCUUCGGCAAUGGACGGAAGUCUGACCGAGCAACGCCGCGUGAGUGAAGAAGGUUUUCGGAUCGUAAAGCUCUGUUGUAAGAGAAGAACGAGUGUGAGAGUGGAAAGUUCACACUGUGACGGUAUCUGACCAGAAAGGGACGGCUAACUACGUG
rnacentral:rRNA from 1 species